rfam:Plautia stali symbiont DNA, complete genome.
AAUUAUUGUAAAUCCCCUGUUAACUAUGGUAACUCUGUAGGUAUUACUUCGAACGAACUAACGAAAAAACAGACGACACAUGAAAGCCCUUCUACAAGUGAUUAGCCUAGUCGUGAUUAGCGUGGUGGUGAUUAUUAACCCACCGUGCGGGGCUACGCUUGGAGAAAGAAAGGCUUAAAAAUCAAGCCUGGAAUUCGAAAAACCCCCGUACCGUAAGGUCCGGGGGUUUUUUUUCGACCAGACGAAAUAUCAGCGAAUCAGCGAGGAACAGAUUAUGAGCAGUAGCAUAAAAUUCUGUUGUUCCAGCAGGAA